GAUGAACGCUGGCGGCGUGCCUAAUACAUGCAAGUCGAGCGGAAGGACGCGAAGCUUGCUUCUCUGAUGUUAGCGGCGGACGGGUGAGUAACACGUGGAUAACCUACCUAUAAGACUGGGAUAACUUCGGGAAACCGGAGCUAAUACCGGAUGAUAUUUUGAACCGCAUGGUUCAAAAGUGAAAGACGGUCUUGCUGUCACUUCUAGAUGGAUCCGCGCUGCAUUAGCUAGUUGGUAAGGUAACGGCUUACCAAGGCAACGAUGCAUAGCCGACCUGAGAGGGUGAUAGCCGACACUGGAAGUGAGACACGGUCCAGACUCCUACGGGAGGCAGCAGUAGGGAAUCGUCCGCAAUGGGCGAAAGCCUGACGGAGCAGCGCCGCGUGAGUGAUGAAGGUCUUCGGAGCGUAAAACUCUGUUAUUAGUGAAGAACAUAUGUGUAAGUAACUGUGCACAUCUUGACGGUACCUAAUCAGAAAGCCACGGCUAACUACGUG
rnacentral:rRNA from 1 species